AGCAGCCGCGGUAAUUCCAGCUCCAAUAGCGUAUAUUAAAGUUGUUGCAGUUAAAAAGCUCGUAGUUGAAUUUCGGGAUCAUCAGGUCGGUCGUGCCUCCGGUAUGUACUGGUCUCGAUGGUUCCUCCUUCUUGUAGAACCGUAAUGCCAUUAAUUUGGUGUUGCGGGGAAACAGGACUGUUACUUUGAAAAAUUAGAGUGUUUAAAGCAGGCGAUCGCUUGAAUACAUCAGCAUGGAAUAAUGAAAUAGGACGUUCGAUCCUAUUUUGUUGGUUUCUAGGAUUGACGUAAUGAUUAAUAGGGAUAGUUGGGGGCAUUAGUAUUCAAUUGUCAGAGGUGAAAUUCUUGGAUUUAUUGAAGACUAACUACUGCGAAAGCAUUUGCCAAGGAUGUUUUCAUUAAUCAAGAACGAAAGUUAGGGGAUCGAAGACGAUCAGAUACCGUCGUAGUCUUAACCAUAAACUAUGCCGACUAGGGAUCGGAUGAUGUAAUUUUUAAUGA
rnacentral:rRNA from 1 species